rnacentral:rRNA from 1 species
UUGGAGGGCAAGUCUGGUGCCAGCAGCCGCGGUAAUUCCAGCUCCAACAGCGUAUAUUAAAGUUGUUGCAGUUAAAAAGCUCGUAGUUGAAUUGAGGGAUUGACGUGACGGUCGUGCCUUACGGGGUAUGAAUGAACUGUUGCUGUUGAUUUUUCUCACCUUCUGGAGAAACUUGAUGUCCUUAAUUGGGUGUCUUGCGGAUCCAGGACCUUUACCUUGAAAAAAUUAGAGUGUUUAAAGCAGGCAUUUUGCUCGAAUACAUUAGCAUGGAAUAAUAGAAUAGGACGGCAUGGUUCUAUUUUGUUGGUUUCUAGGAUCACCGUAAUGAUUAAUAGGGAUAGUUGGGGGCAUUAGUAUUCAAUUGUCAGAGGUGAAAUACUUGGAUUUGUUGAAGACUAAUUACUGCGAAAGCAUUUGCCAAGGAUGUUUUCAUUAAUCAAGAACGAAAGUUAGGGGAUCGAAGACGAUCAGAUACCGUCGUAGUCUUAACCAAUAAACUAUGUCGACUAGGAAUCAGACGAUGUUAAUUUUUUUAAUGACUCGUUCGGCGCCUUACGGGAAAC